UGCAGUGAGCUAGAACAGACCCCAGAUGAGUCACAAAAACUCUGAGUCCCUCACCUACCUGAAGAUGUGUCAGUUCAUCAAUAAGAACAUGGUUUCACAACAGCUUAAACUAAAAUGAAAUGGGCCCACCCAAGAGCUCUACCCAUUCCAAUAUUUAGAAGCUUUUCCAUCUAUUUAGCAUCUCCCUUGCUCCAAGUAUACUGCAUGGCACAACUUACACAUGAAUAUCUGUUGAAUGAAGAGAAGUGAUCUGGCAAAGUGAACAGAGCAUCAGUUUGUAUUCAGACCUGGACACAGUGAAAUCUGACUCUGGUGACCAACACAUACAAGUUCAUUAAGGUAAAAGUGUGGCUGUAGCAGACAUGAGAACGUGCCUUGCAGAACUCCAGCCACAGAAACUUCACUGACCAGGGGACCCAGCUACAGCCCUCUGAGUCCACCACUGGGCUGGCUGAGCCCAUGCCUUCACCAGCUGCUUCCUGGCAAUGACUGAGUUCAGGAGAGAUACUAAGCAGGCUCCUUUUUGUAAGACACAAACUCCCCGGAUGGGGGCCUUUGGCCCAGGAAAGGCACAGAGACUUUGCCUAAACUGUCUUAGAACUACACUGUGCUCUACAACUUUUCCUAUCCAACCUUGUCUCCUUCCUUCUCUCUCAUACAGGGGCAAGAUCUGCAUUAUGACCUGGAAGCUCUCCCAGUACCAUCCUACAUUCCCUGUGAUCAGAUGUACGUGUUUGCUUCUUUUUUGUAUGUGUGUUUGCUUCUUGGAGGACUCAAAAUGACACAGUA